GACGAACGCUGGCGGCGUGCUUAACACAUGCAAGUCGAACGGAAAGGCCCUGCUUUUGUGGGGUGCUCGAGUGGCGAACGGGUGAGUAACACGUGAGUAACCUGCCCUUGACUUUGGGAUAACUUCAGGAAACUGGGGCUAAUACCGGAUAGGAGCUCCUGCUGCAUGGUGGGGGUUGGAAAGUUUCGGCGGUUGGGGAUGGACUCGCGGCUUAUCAGCUUGUUGGUGGGGUAGUGGCUUACCAAGGCUUUGACGGGUAGCCGGCCUGAGAGGGUGACCGGCCACAUUGGGACUGAGAUACGGCCCAGACUCCUACGGGAGGCAGCAGUGGGGAAUAUUGCACAAUGGGCGGAAGCCUGAUGCAGCAACGCCGCGUGCGGGAUGACGGCCUUCGGGUUGUAAACCGCUUUCGCCUGUGACGAAGCGUGAGUGACGGUAAUGGGUAAAGAAGCACCGGCUAACUACGUGCCAGCAGCCGCGGUGAUACGUAGGGUGCGAGCGUUGUCCGGAUUUAUUGGGCGUAAAGGGCUCGUAGGUGGUUGAUCGCGUCGGAAGUGUAAUCUUGGGGCUUAACCCUGAGCGUGCUUUCGAUACGGGUUGACUUGAGGACGGUAGGGGAGAAUGGAAUUCCUGGUGGAGCGGUGGGAUGCGCAGAUAUCAGGAGGAACACCAGUGGCGAAGGCGGUUCUCUGGGCCUUUCCUGACGCUGAGGAGCGAAAGCGUGGGGAGCGAACAGGCUUAGAUACCCUGGUAGUCCACGCUGUAAACGGUGGGUACUAGGUGUGGGGUCCAUUCCACGGGUUCCGUGCCGUAGCUAACGCUUUAAGUACCCCGCCUGGGGAGUACGGCCGCAAGGCUAAAACUCAAAGGAAUUGACGGGGCCCCGCACAAGCGGCGGAGCAUGCGGAUUAAUUCGAUGCAACGCGUAGAACCUUACCUGGGUUUGACAUGGAUCGGGAGUGCUCAGAGAUGGGUGUGCCUCUUUUGGGGUCGGUUCACAGGUGGUGCAUGGCUGUCGUCAGCUCGUGUCGUGAGAUGUUGGGUUAAGUCCCGCAACGAACGCAACCCUUGUUCACUGUUGCCAGCACGUUAUGGUGGGGACUCAGUGGAGACCGCCGGGGUCAACUCGGAGGAAGGUGGGGAUGACGUCAAGUCAUCAUGCCCCUUAUGUCCAGGGCUUCACGCAUGCUACAAUGGCUGGUACAGAGAGUGGCGAGCCUGUGAGGGUGAGCGAAUCUCGGAAAGCCGGUCUCAGUUCGGAUUGGGGUCUGCAACUCGACCUCAUGAAGUCGGAGUCGCUAGUAAUCGCAGAUCAGCAACGCUGCGGUGAAUACGUUCCCGGG
rnacentral:rRNA from 1 species